CCCUUAGAUGUCCUGGGCCGCACGCGUGCUACACUGACGCCUACAGCGAGUACUUCCCAGCCCCGAGAGGUGGCUGGUAAUCAGCAAUAGGCGUCGUGAUGGGGAUAGAUCUUUGGAAUUAUGGAUCUUGAACGAGGAAUGCCUAGUAAGCGCAGGUCAUUAGCCUGCGUUGAUUAAGUCCCUGCCCUUUGUACACACCGCCCGUCGCUCCUACCGAUUUCGAGUGGUCCGGUGAAUCUUUCGGACUGCGCGCGGCUUCGUGCCGUGUCGCGGAAAGUCAGGUAGACCUUAUCACUUAGAGGAAGGAGAANUCGUAACA
rnacentral:rRNA from 1 species